UGGUUGUCUUCUCUUGUUUCAGAGUUUAGCUCCAACCCCAGUUAAGCAGACCUGAGCAGCUGAUCAAGGAUCAGCAGAAACUCUGCAGAACGGUGGUCCUCCAGCCCAGGACUGGACACCAGUGUUAGUGUCUGUCUUAGAAGCUGAAGAAAAAAGGCCACACCUUAUAGGAAAUAAACGCCUCCUAAGUGUAUGGAAAUACCUGGCUGAGGAGAUCAGUGACAUAAACCAGAUAAAACUGUCAGUGGUCUGAGACAGCUACAAGCCACAAAAAACAGUUCAUAGUUCCUGCAUUUCUAUAAUGCAUUAAUGAAUAACAAUAAUUAAAAUAAAAUGUAAUGUCAAGGUUUUGUGUUAAUUCCAGCUAUGUUGAGUAUUCUGUGAAUA